rnacentral:misc_RNA from 1 species
AACGCAUCUUGCACUCUCUGGUAUUCCGGAGAGUAUGUCUGUUUGAGUGUCAUGAAUUCUUCAACCCUCCCUUUUCUUAGUGAAUUGAGAGGAGUUUGGAUUCUGAGUGUUGCUCCUAACCCGAGCUCAUUCGUAAUAUAUUAGCAUCCAUAUUCGAUUUCGGAUUGACUUGGCGUAAUAGACUAUUCGCUGAGGAAUCUAACUUCGGUUAGAGCCGUUUUUGAACUAGGAAGCUGCUAAUCUAGCUUAGUCUACCUUUAGAUUAGAUCUCAAAUCAGAUAGGAUUACCCGCUGAACUUAA